UACAGAGGUCUCAAGCGUUGUUCGGAUUCAUUGGGCGUAAAGGGUGCGUAGGUGGCGUGGUAAGUCGGGUGUGAAAUUUCGGAGCUUAACUCCGAAACUGCAUUCGAUACUGCUGUGCUUGAGGACUGGAGAGGAGACUGGAAUUUACGGUGUAGCAGUGAAAUGCGUAGAGAUCGUAAGGAAGACCAGUGGCGAAGGCGGGAUCUCUGGACAGUUCCUGACACUGAGGCACGAAGGCCAGGGGAGCAAACGGG
rnacentral:rRNA from 1 species